AAAGAUUGAAAUUUGUACUAUUUCGAAUUUUGGAUAAAUCUUUGUACAAUAAAUAUUACAAGGGAGACUGGAAUCGGAAACUCUUAUAAUCAAGCUUUAAUCGGAAGAGAAUCAUACAUGGAUCGACACUCAGUACAGUAACACAUAAUGCAGGAUGUCGAUGGACAUGUACACAAGCGUAUCCCCGACCAUAAACUUCCUCAAGAGCCCAAUGUCCCGGCAAGGCAGCUCAUUCCUCACCACUUCAUUCCGAAGAAGACCAACUUCAGAACUACUUCCAACCGCCAUCACCGAAGCUGCUGCUACACCGUUGCUGCACAAGGAACUAGAUGAUCAGGCUGAUGAUAAGGACGAAAAGUACCGUACACUGAAGCAACAGAGAUCCUCUGUUUUCUCACUCGGCAAUAUCCCUUCCGCCGCGGCCGACUACGAUCCGGCCGAAUUGCGCAGGAGCUCUUACGGGCAGGCGGUGCUGAACGGGGUGAACGUGCUGUGCGGGAUAGGGAUACUGUCGACGCCGUACGCGGUUAAAGAAGGAGGGUGGUUG
rnacentral:lncRNA from 1 species